ACCAUCCUCCAAGGCUAAAUACUCCUGACUGACCGAUAGUGAACCAGUACCGUGAGGGAAAGGCGAAAAGAACCCCGGCGAGGGGAGUGAAAAAGAACCUGAAACCGUGUACGUACAAGCAGUGGGAGCCCCACCACUAAGCCAGUGGUGAACUCCACAUACGCAUCCUUUGCUGAAGGCAAUGGUUAACGGAGCGAAAGCGACGUUCAACCGCAAAACAAGCAGAGGGGGCUUAGUGGUGGGGUGACUGCGUACCUUUUGUAUAAUGGGUCAGCGACUUAUAUUCUGUAGCAAGGUUAACCGUAUAGGGGAGCCGGAGGGAAACCGAGUCUUAAUUGGGCGUUAAGUUGCAGGGUAUAGACCCGAAACCCGGUGAUCUAGCCAUGGGCAGGUUGAAGGUUGGGUAACACUAACUGGAGGACCGAACCGACUAAUGUUGAAAAAUUAGCGGAUGACCUGUGGCUGGGGGUGAAAGGCCAAUCAAACCGGGAGAUAGCUGGUUCUCCCCGAAAGCUAUUUAGGUAGCGCCUCGUGAAUUCAUCUCCGGGGGUAGAGCACUGUUUCGGCUAGGGGGCCAUCCCGGCUUACCAACCCGAUGCAAACUGCGAAUACCGGAGAAUGUUAUCACGGGAGACACACGGCGGGUGCUAACGUCCGUCGUGAAGAGGGAAACAACCCAGACCGCCAGCUAAGGUCCCAAAGUCAUGGUUAAGUGGGAAACGAUGUGGGAAGGCCCAGACAGCCAGGAUGUUGGCUUAGAAGCAGCCAUCAUUUAAAGAAAGCGUAAUAGCUCACUGGUCGAGUCGGCCUGCGCGGAAGAUGUAACGGGGCUAAACCAU
rnacentral:rRNA from 1 species